rnacentral:lncRNA from 1 species
AGUAGUAGAAGUACAAAAACUUCUCCACCUUAAAAUUAUACCCGAUCAUGAAAAAUAGAAGACAGGAAUAGAUAAAGGUUUGGAUUGCAACGUAAAUUGUCUCAAUAGACACCUACAUCACCAAUAUAUGUAUCAAGAACAAAGAUAUGAGAUUUUAAUGUUAUAUGAAAACUAAGACGUAAACUAGCAAACUUCUUCCAAUAUCUUACCUGAGCAAAUGCAUAAGGCAACUCUGAAUACAUUCCCGCUGCUCUUUCACGGUAGAAAACUGUUCGUUCAACCGCAACCACAGAUUGCACAGAAAAAGCAUUGUUAGAUCCAAGGAAAAGAAUAGCCGAAUAGGUAGCUCCCAAAAGAUUAAUCAGGUCUUGUUGUUUGUGUCUGUUCACAAGAUAAUAUACAGUUAAACACAGCAAAGAACCUUUCACAAAAACAAAUGAUUGGAGAAAACAUGCAACUGAAUCACAAAAUUCAAAGAAUAAUAUGUACGAAGGAUAGCUCAUAAUAAACUUCUUAAACUUACAUCUGGUCUCCUUUGCCCCAGAAGAUAACACCAAAUAAUACUCCAGUGCAAAUUGUCAUGAAAAACCUAAUGGCAUUGUACCGUGAGUUCCUCCAGUAUGACCAGUGUUGCUUCCAGAAGCAAGCCUUACACUGAGUUCCAAAGCCUUGGGAGUAUUGGGUGGGGAAGUAGAGGUCCUUGGAACCUGGUAGUGGUGUGCUUAGUUCAUUGAUAAGUUCCUGGUUUCUCCUGAACAAGUGAAAACAAAUAUGAAGAAAAUUUUAAUACACACGGACAAGCAGUUGGCAAUAAUAGAAAUGAAAAGAAAACAAAUUUAUAUGCUACUAACCUAUAGAGUUCCGAGUUCGCAUAUACUUCUGCGAAAUCAGUUUCAAGUCGAACCUCCACGGCAGAAGAGCUGACCUCUAACAUCCAGGUAGCAGGAUUGUAACCUUCUUUGAUCUUGCUAACCCCUGGAAUAGCCUGAAACAUGUUUUGGAUAUUAGUCAAACUUUUAACUACAGAAACCAUUGGUGUAUAAAUAGAGGUUUUGAUGUUUCAUUGAAACAGAGAAUUUGAUUCUUAAUAAAUCGUUCAUGCUUCGAGAAAGUUGUAAUGAAAACAAACCAUUCAUUGCUCAGACAGAAAUAUGUUGGAGUGAAAUGUAUAUUGGAUUACAUGAAAUCGAUGUUCUAAAAUAUUCUUACUGAAGUAGAUGUUACAGUUUGGAUCAUUGGAAGGAAAUUUAACAUAAAUGGUGCAGCAAAAACAUACCUCAAAAUAUUCUACGAGUUUGUGAGACUGGCGACCUAGAGGUCCAGCAUAAAUCACCUGACCUCCUCUUUUCAUUAAGAAAAGCUGCAAUAGAAAACAAAAUCAAGGUGAAAUAUGGCACAUGAAAUAAUAAACAGUGUUACAGAUUAACAGAAUUAAAAUCAAAUAAUACCUCAUCAAAAGCUUCAAAAAUGUCGAUGCUGGGUUGGUGAAUUGUGCACACAACAGUUCGCCCUGUAUCUACAGUGUUUCUUACAGUACGCAUAACAAUUGCGGCUGCUCUUGCAUCAAGACCUGAUGUAGGCUCAUCCAAAAAGAUGAUGGACGGAUUUGCAACCAAUUCUACAGCAAUAGUGAGCCUCUUUCUCUGCUCAGUUGAAAGUCCAUCAACUCCCGCAACUCCAACUAAAGCAUUCCUCAAUGGAUUAAGCUCGACCAAAUCCAUAACCUCAUCAACAAACAUCUAAAGAAAAGAAUAAAAACAUAAAUUAAUUAACAUGACUUCUUUAUUCGUAAACGAACGAGACGGUUGUAGAGAGAUAAAAUGCAUAUAAUAAGAAAUUAAAAUGGGAUAACUGCUAAAAUUAAAGUGAUUAAAUAAAUAAACAUGCCUUCCGUGUAUCCUUCUUGACAUCCUUGGCAAGACGUAACCAGGCAGAGUAUAUGAGAGAUUCAUAAACAGUAACAUAUGGUGAAUGAAUAUCAUUCUGUUCACAGUAACCGCUGACCCUAGCAAAUGUAACUUGGUUCUUUGGGAAACCAGAGAUGGUAAUACUUCCUUCAAUGUACCCACUAGUCUUUCUUCCAGCUAAGACAUCCAUCAAGGUGGUCUUUCCAGCACCACUGACACCAACUAAUGCAGUCAGAACACCGGGCCUAAAUGCACCACUGACAUCUCGUAGAAGUUGCAAUCGGUUCUCUUCAAUCCCUUGGCUCUUCAUUUCCUGGCAAGGAAACCAAAAAAAAUGUUACCAAGGAGAAUCGUAUUAAUAAAGGUUCUGCGAAUCAUAUUAGACCCACGACGUGUUUGGCAUCAUAUAUUGUGCUCAUAGUUUCGAGACGAUAACAAUCAAUUCAUAGCUAAUGACAAUCUAACUUCAAAUGACUUUUGAAAAAUGCAUUAAAAUAAGAUACUUUCGUCUUCUGUUUUUUCUUAAAAAAAAUGAGCAGAAACUUUCAUUUUCAUUUCUAUUCUUAACUUCUCAUUAGAUUGCUUAAAAUUAAAACCUUAAAGAAAAUAUAAUUAGAACAUUACUUACAGCAGGCAUAUCCACAUAAUAGUUCACAUUGUUGAAAGCAAGGGAAAGGGGCUGGAAGGGCAAAACCAUUCCUUUUCUGGCUUGAUUGUUUGCAGCAUUUCUCACUUGCAUAUCAGUACCUGACAUUGCUCAUUAUUUAUUAGAAAAGGGAAAUAAUUUGAUAGCAAAGGCACUAAAUAAGAUGAACGUUUUAUGCAGUAGAUUUGGUACAACCCCAUGACGACAUACAUGAAGAACGGUGCAUGCGGUGAAUAGGGGGUUUGCAGCGUGGACAUGGGUUGAUAAUGCUUAUCUAGCUUAUACAUUGUUUUACAGCAAGAAUAUAUGCAAGUUAAGACCCACAAGAAUAUAACAUUAUACCUUCUGGAUUGGGUCGUCGCUUCCUAUUACUUUCGGAGUCAUCAUUCUCAAUUAGAGUUUUAGUACCACCAAGAGCUAAAAUUUAGAUUAAAAGAGAGCAAAAAAAUCAGUACUUAAGUCCAUAAAAUUAGUAGUACCCAAUGAGUGGUGCAUAAUGAAAAUUAUUCACUUACGAUUCAGGAAGGUCAAUGCUGCAAUGAAAAGAACAUUAAAAAGCAGAGAGAACCCGAAAAGCGCUGCAACACAAAUCCAAUACCAAUAUUCUUCAGUAAACAAGCCUCUUUCCCUGAGAAGCAUCUUUCCAACUGUAGGCUCAAUGGAGUUAUUGACAGGCUGCACAAAGGAAUAACAAAUUUUGUUAAGCUCAAAGUUGAUAUUAAUGUAUAAGUAGAAUUCAAUUGAGAUUUAGGACAACUUACAGCGCUCCAUCUUUCAUCAAGAAAUUCGUUGAUGGCAAUUGCAUUUUGUCCAUACAUCAUAGGUGAAACAUAGUAGCCCCAUAUCAUCCAUGGAACAAUGUCAUCUGCAAACCAAAAGGAGAAUCUUGUGAAUGUCAAAUCAAAUGAAAAAAAAUCGAAAAGUCUGUCAUUGUAUUGAUUGAAACAUGAUAACAAUACUAGUAUCGAACUGAUAUAUGUGCCUGCGUUGGCAACGAAGGCAAAAGACUCCAUACCUUUAGCAACAACAAAACCUCCAAGGACAAACACAAUUAGCAAUGUAAGGGAACCAAUAGUGUUUGCAACAACCUCUGUUCGUCCAAGGGCAGCAAUGAAACGGAAAAGGGAUAGUGCCAUCUGAUGUACACUGAAGAAAGCCAAGAGCUGUUUGAAGAACCUGAGCAUAUUGCACAUAUGUCAGAUGCAAGAAUUACUAGAUUUUGUUAUAUUUCAUCACUCAUAUGUAGCAACACAAAGAAGAAGCUUCCAACAAUAAUACUUUGGACAAAUCAAAGCUUAAUUACCUACUGGCAGCAGGUGCAAAUCCAAUGGUGUAGUAAGUCAAAAUGAUCCAUAUCCCAGAAUCCAUCAGUGAAAUGGGAAUUCUGGUUAGCCAAAUCGGCAAGCCAAAAGCCCAGCCAGGGUAGAACAAGGCAUCCCUUUGUUUAAAGAACACAGGAAGCCUGAAAACUGUCAUCGCAAGCUCUGCCAUUCCAUUAAACAUGACGUUAAUGAGACUGAAAAACAGUGCUCCCCAGAAUUUUGCUGAAUCUUGUACUGUCCCAGCUUGCAUUUCUGUUCUUAAGAACACUGUCAAAGCAAUUGUAGCCAUGAUUGUUAUCUGUGCAGUUUUGAAUAUGUAUACAAAAGAGUUACGCUUCAUCAGAAGCCACUCCCUUGCAAAGCAUGCCUUGAAGAGCUCCAUAUUGGAUAUUCCAUACUUAUCCUUCACCAAGGCAGCAGGGUGGGCUGUUCUUUUAUCAUAUGGAACCCUUAGGUCUUCCAAAAGUCGUUGGCCAACAUGAAACGAGCUGAAAGCCUGUACAAAGUCGGGCACUGAGACAUAUCUGUAAUCUUGAUUCUUGUUAUACCAGUAUUGUUCUUGGUCCUUCUUUGAGGUCACUUCUUGCAAGAAAUCUGCAACACCUUUUCUUUCGGGGCAUCUGAACCCCAUAUAUUCAAAGAAUUCAAGCAUAUUCUCACGCGGACCUUGGUAGACAAUCUGACCCUCAGAAAGAAGGAUAAUGUCAUCAAAAAGAUCAUACGUCUCAGGUGCUGGCUGCAAGAGAGAGAUGACCAUUGACACAUCCAUAAUAUGAACCAUCUGCCUCGUGAACUUGACAAUUUGAAAGGUUGUGGAACUGUCCAGCCCCGUUGAUAUUUCAUCCAUGAAAAAAGCUUUCGCUGGUCCAACCAACAUUUCUCCUGCGGUCAGACCAACCACCACCAGUUAAAAUCAUUGCAGAGAAUGUUUGCACGUCAAUAAUCAUUCCUAUUUGAACAUACAUUCAUGCAGAGUUCCACCACUCACACUUCGAAACACAUAUGAAAGCAUAACCAUCAUGGAAACCCAGUUUUCUUUUAGUUAUGUAAUAUGGCGUGAAGUCUCAUACCAGUGGUUACACGUUUCUUUUGUCCACCAGAUAUGCCCCUUCUCAUGCCAUCACCCACACUUGUAUCAGCACAGAUCUCUAAACCAAGUAACUGUCAGAAGAACAAAAAAUUGUUAGGCUUGUACAAUAGGAGAGCAAGCACACGAUCUUAUGAUAAUCAACCAACCUUGAGAACAUAAUCUGUGAUCAAACUAGUUUCCUGGCCUGACAUAGAUGUGGCUUUCAUGAAUGCAUCGAUUUCAGUGUCUGGUUUGAUACCUGAAUCUUUCUCCCUUCUAGACAACUCUACCAGCAUAUCAUACCUGGUUCCAACUCCCAGGCAACGUCCGGAGAAAUCCAACGUUUCACGAACUGUCAUCUCACCAUAUUGAAUAUCAUGCUGGCUAAUAUAAGCAGAGGUUCUCUGAGGCACAAAUUCCUUAAAUUCAUGGCCGCAGUAGGUCACUUUCCCAGUUACCUGUUUAUAACCCCAUCUUGUUAAAUACGUAUGAAGUACUAAAUAAGCAGGUGCACUAAUGCAAUAAAAAUAAACCUAUAAAAGUUAAGGAGAUAGAGAGGAUGGCAAACCCUUAGAUCCUUAUCAAGCUUGCCAGCGAGUGCUUUUAGAAGUGUUGUUUUUCCGGAUGCAGGAGGUCCAAGAAGCAGUGUCAACCUGGGACAAAAUUACUUCACUUGAUUAGAAAUCAAUCACUUAUCUUUUGCAGGGAAGGAAAUUAAUUUUUUAUUAGAAACUAAAAUUAGGAGAGCAAAAUUCCAAGGCAAGGAGAGAACUCGUGAAGAAUUACAAAAAGCAAGGUAGAUGGUGGUUCCCUUCCAUCUCCCUCCGCCAGGUUCUUGAACCAAAUUGAUGAUUGCACGUCAUCACAACAAAAGUUGAUGCUCUUGAGCAUCGAAACAAAUUUCUCAAUCCAUUUGCAGUGGACUUGUGCCAUCAUAAAAAGGGUACCUUACGGUACUGUUUGUUUUAUCCUAAAUUUCCCAAAUCUGGUCCGUUCCUUGAUGCGCAAGACAAAGCUUCAUAAGGACCCAAGACAUAAAAGAAGCUGUUUGUUUUAUCCUCCCUAUUUUGGCACUGAAGCUGUAGAGCAUAACUUCGUCACAUGCACAUGCACUGCAAGAUGUGGGUCCAAACAAAUAACACUAGCAACAACGAAUAACUUAACGAAGCCAAUAAUUCAUUGGGCAAUUUCCAAAACCACUAUGCUGCCCAAGCACAAAAAUGAGAUCAUUGCCGCCGGAAAGAAAAAAGUAGAAACUCCAAGAAUUAAUUGGAUGUUGGACUAAAGGCUUGCUGCACUAACUUCUAUGUCCAAGAAAAAACUCAUGGUGUCGGGAAAUCAAUGGAGGUAGUAAAUACAGUCUAUGCCAAAGCAAACAUUUUGGACUGAGUGAUGGUGACCAAUGGACCUCCGGAAGUAAAGAAAAGGAACCCCAUCAAGGGAAGAAAUUUCAAUUGGCAAACAAUUGGUGCAAAUAAUUCACUGAAGAUCCCGAGUUCAUUGGAAAAAUCAAGUCAUUCUAUAGUGAGGGCCUAUAGUGAGGGCCUUAUAUGUGGCGUUAGAUGAGGUCAUAUAUGGAAAAAUCCAAUUGGCAAACAAUUGGUCUAAAUUUUCAAAUCCACAAAUUUUGGAUUAAUGGGCUUAAAUCCAAAAUGCCUAUUAAUUCCCCAAAUAAACUCAAAACCAGUACAAAAUCACCACGAAGCCCAAGUGGUACAAACCACUCCUAAACCCAAGUGGUACAAAACCACCCAAAUCCAAAAAUGAACUACGUUGGUUUGAUCCCGUCAAAGGUACGUAGGCAGUCUAGCAUACCACUAGACGCAACCGCAACCAAAUUUAAAUCCUUGAUCCCAACCAACCAAAGUCAAGCCCAGACAGAAUCUCUUCACCUUAACCAAAUUUGUCCCAAACACUUUCUAUAUCCUAAACGACACAAAUUUCCAUCCAAAUUUUCUCACCAAAAAUCUCAAACAAAUCCCAAUGAACUAUGAGUUGGCCUGAUUCCCUCAAAGGGAGACGUAGUCAACUGGGUGUUCGUUCCAAGUGCAGCCACAAAACCAAACAAACCAUUUUUCCCCCCAAAUCACACUCGUUUGUAAUUUUAAUCAAAGGAUCUUCUCUUUUAAUUCAUAACAAGGGUAUAAUCAAGAGAUUCUUUAAUCUCGAGUGGUUUGGAGUUAAAAUAAUAAAACCCUAUUCAUUGAAUGUGGGUGAAAUUGUGUUGGGAGAUUUUGUUCACAUUUUCGCUCAACGAACACUUUGUGUUAUUUAUUUAUAAACUUUUUAAAAACCAUCAUGUGCGAUUUUAUUGGUGCAACAAAUAUAAUACUAGUCCAGAAAAGAGGUUAAAUUUGCAAAGUUCAUGAGCAGACCUUGAUGGUUUAACGAUACCUCUCACAUCUUGGAGUAUCUGAACGACUCUUUUCUUUGAUGGUCUGAGUCCAAGCAUUCCAAUUAAUCCCUAUUCACAUUUAUAAGAAUUUAGAAAUCUGUGAAUUUACCAUCUAUAGGAACACUAGACUAACAAGGAAAGUUUACUGUAAAUAAAUGUUAAGAAAAUACCUCCACUGAGUUCAAGGUGGAAUUUAGCAGAGUUGGAAGUGCUCUGGUGCCUACAUAUGCAUCUCCUUCUAUUGAUAAAUUCUGAAAUCUAACCUCAACUUUAGGAACAUCAAUACCAACCCUGUUGCCAAUCAACCAAAAAAAAACAAACCAGGACUUUCAAAAUCCAACCCAAUUUUCCUCCUGCUUUCUCAUCAACCAAACAAGCCAAAUAUAUAUCAACAACCCAAUGUAGCAACAAAAAAAAAACAAUAUUAAACCUGUCAUUUCUGGCUCUGAGCCUCUGCAAGAACCUCUCAUUGUCCUCCUCAACAACCUCAAGUAUGCUCUCCAUCAACUGCUUCUUAUCUUGAGCCCCAAGGUUUGCAACAUUAACUUCUUCACUCACAACCUUCCCAUUGCUCAUGGCAUGUCUCAACAUCCCCCUCCUCAUCCUAUCAUAUGUGGGCAGCCUCUCUAUGGCUGCCCACUUCAGCUCCUCCUCCCCAUCCACACUCUGCUGCCUCCCGCUCCACUCCAAAACGUCAUGCGCAUUCCACAUUUCCCUCACACUCAUCGACCGCCAGCUCCCCCGGCUGCUGGACUGCCUUGUCAAGUCAUCUCCGGCCAAUGCAGCCGCCAUUUUUAACUCAAAAAAAAAAAACCAAUCAAAUCAUUCCCAACUCAAGAUUUCUGGCAAUGGUUUGUGUUUUUCACCCAUUUGGCUUACCCAAUGUAAGAAACUGAUUGAAGUUUGAACUCACUAGUUUUUCCCCCCAACUUGGACUGUUCAAGUUCAAAAAGAAUUGAAUUAAAUGAACAAAUGCAUACACUUAAAGAAUGAGACUUUUUUGUUCUUUUGUCUGCACUCACACUUAGUAUUUGAUGAUGAAUGUGAAAAUGGGAGAAAGCGAAAGAGAUUUUUUUUUUUGGGUGAGACUUGGGUCUCCCUUUUAUAUACAUAGAAGAAGAAAAACAGAGGAAGCUCAUGAGACUCUAGGGUGUGCAAGAUCCAAUCUAAUCCGCCCAAACUGACCGAUUCAAUUCAAUUCAAUCCAAUUUUAAUUGGUUUCGAUAACUUGGUAUUGGAUUGGAUCCCUAAUUUCCAAAACGAACAUGAUUGAAUCGGAUGACGGAUUUGCUUGUGAGAAUCCAAUCACAUCAAAUCCAAUUCAAUCAAGGUAGUGCUUAGUUUGCUCAUGUAGACAAUUGUAAUUAGAAAGUUAUGAACAUUUAAGUCAUUUGGUGGAGUUAUGUUUUAUAUAGUAUAAAAUCAAAACCAAAAAAAAAGCUCUAGGAUUGGAAUAGAAUUCAUGCGUUUAAAAUAAAUGUUUCAUGCAUAGAUUCAUGUAUUAGCCUUUUAGUUCAUAUUUUGGGGACUUGGUUCAAUGUUAGUGACAUAAUUGUCUAUAAUAAAUUGGGGGAUUUGGUUCAAUGUAAGUGACAUCUUCCUACUAUCUAUAAUAGUUGAUAGAAUUGUUAGUUUACGAUAUGUGAGUUAUAGAAACAAAUUGAGAUUUUCUCUACUAUUGAGAACUACACUCUCUCCUUGUUUUUGGUAUUCUUAGAAUCAACAAAGCUUGGAAACCUACAUUCUCUCCUUGUUCUGGGUGUUCUAAGGGUGUAUUCAAUUCUAACUUUUAAAGACUUUUUAUAAGUAAGUGACUUUUAUAGAGUUGACAGAUUCUUAAUGACUUUUACAUACUUUAUAAAGUUAAGUGAUAUACUUUCAUAUACUUUUAUCAUAGAGUUUUACAUACUUUUAUCUACUUUUUGUAAUAUUUAUUUAUAAAUAAUAUUUAUCUUUUUAAUAUUUAUCAUAGAGUAGUAUAACAAAAAAAAAAGAAAUUGCUUCUAAUAUUUAUGUUUUGUAUGGUGAAUUAACUAGUUCGCAUAUGGAACAAGUAGCCAAAAAAAGAAAACCAAUUGGAUACAAUUUUGUAAACGCAAAGAAAUAUUUUUCCAUGUCUAAGAACUUUUCACUUGAGAACAGUGUCAAGUAUGGAGAAAAUAAGGUUGCUACUCUUGGAUGCAACUCAAAUAUAAGGUGUGCAAUCAAUAUUAUGGAUUUAAUUAGUUUAGUUCGUAGAGCUGGGUCUUGGGGAAGAAGGGACAGAAUAUCCGAUUGCUGGAACGAAGUUGAGAUCCUCAAGACCUUCUAGAAGUAUAAGUUUAGGUGGGAGAUACCAGUAAAGUGGCAUGGUGAUAGCGCCAAGCCAAAUAACAGCACCAGAAUGUGGGGUUAGCUGUAAACCCCAGGAUGCUAAGAGCUAAAUUGCUAUUAGAGAAUGUGGGUUUUGUAACAAAAUCAUUUGUUCCUACAGAUAGGCCCUAAAAAUUGCAAAUAGAGGCAAAAAAAAAUUUAUGGAAGAAACCAAUGCAGUCACACCGUAGCUCUUAGUACGUAGCAAUUGUUUCAAACAUUGAAAAGAAAAAAACAAGCAAGAAAUGGCUCAUCAUCAUAACAAUUCCCCACGACAGAUGAUGGAAGCCAAAACAAAAAAAUCAAAUUGGAGGUGUAGUAGGCCAUCUCUUGAUAGUACACCGACCAAAGAGGGAAGGGGUCUACAGACCCAAACAUGGUGGCACACCCUCGAAUGGCCAAAGCUACAGCAUGAUCGAAUUCAUUGAUAAAGUCUUGGGUAAAUUAGCUAGACUUUUGGUGUUAAGAAUUAGAUUUAAAAGUAUUGAAAAGUCAUUCAUUUAACAAAGUUUUCAAAAGUCAUUAAUUUUGUGAAGACCACAAAACUUUUAAAGACUUUUUAAAAUCACAAUUGAAUACUAUUAAACUUUUAAAGACUAUUUAAAAGUCAUAGUUGAAUACCUCCAGACUUUUAAACUCAUUAAAAGUCUUUAAAAAUUAGAAUUUAAUACACCCCCCUUAAGGCUAAUUCUUAACAUAACUUGGAUUUGUUUCAACGUGUAUCCUUUCGUCUUGCUCAAAGUGUCGAUGCAUCAUAUUUCAUUUAUAUUUUACAUUUACGUAUAUUAAAAUGUUUGAUUAUAUUAAACUUGAUGAGAAAUGUUUCAUAUUUCAUUAUUAUUAUAUUUAAUAUCAAUUGGAACGGAUCAGAUUGAAUUAGAUUUAAACUUCUAAUCCGAUCGGAUUCGAUUGGAAAAAUUAUAAUUCGAUCUAUAUUGGUUCAUAUGCGAGUUGACUAAAUUAUAUUAGUUUCAAACCAAGUGACACCCCUAUGAGAAUCCAUGAAUUCUCUCUCUAACUUUUUCUAUUUUUUACUAUCAAGAUGCAAUGAGGAUUAAAACCUGAGACAUCUAUAAGUCAAAGUUAUUUCCUAUUAAGCUAGACCCGUUGCCAAUUCUUGUGUGUUUUGAUUAGAGGGUCGUUGGUCAAAAACUUUCCAGUUCAUCCCACAGUUGAAUUUCCUCAAAUAUUUAACGUGAAAUGCACAAAACGACAAAUCACAUGCUUCGCUUUUAAGAUAGUUAUAUUAUAAUAGGACAUUUUGGACCGUUGGAUUAGAAAUGAGAGUUGGGAUAUUGAAUCGGAUGGCGCAUCAAACUUAUUGUACGGUAAAUUUUAUUAUAGAGAAUUAUAUCAUGAACCCAUGGUGAUGGCGUAUCAAACCUAAACCCUUUUUUUUUUUUUUUUGUGAACCCAGCAAUGAAAGAUCCACUUAGAUCUAACGACUCUACUUCCAUAAGACAAAGGAACCUUAAAAGCCCGUCCAAAAAUACCGGGAGAAAAAAAACCCAACACAAAACUAGGGAGAACCAACACCCGUCAUAAAACUAGGAGAAACGCUCUCUACAACAUGGAGAGAGAUGCCCAGUUUAUUAGCCGAAUGAGUUAAUUCCAAGAGAGUGGUUGCAUAGAAAAUAGGACAACGAAGAAGGGAGAAGAGUGGUUGAUAUAAUCUUCCUACCAACAAGUGAAGUCAAAAAAUGGUAAAAUCACAUAUGAUGGGUAUCAAGAGAUCAUGGUUGGAAUAGUCUCUUCAAAAAGGACUAGCUAAAAUAACCUUGUAGGAGUUUACCAACACUUGGUUAAAAAUAAGGGUCAUGCUAGGGAGACCAACUUUAGAUACCAACUUGUGUACCAACUCUCUAAUAGAGGUGGAACCCACCAAUACAAUGGGUCCCAGACUCUAUUAGAGAGUUGGUACACAAGUUAGUAUCUAAAGUUGGUCUCCCUAGCAUUUUCCUAAAAAUAAUUAGCUUCUUAUAUUUAAUGGAAUGACCGGAUUUAAUUCAGAAGUGACACUUGAUUAUGUUUAGCUCUUCGGAAAUGUACUAAUACUAAUAUUGGUCAUUAUAUUUAAGGAAAUGGAAUGACCGGAUUUUUUUCAUUUUUGGAUUUUAUUUAUUUAUUUAAGAAGGACUAGAGGCUGCACUUCUGCACUGGGUUCCAGUAUUUCUUGAUGUUUGUAUUCUGGGUCCUUGUUGAAUGAAAGCUUCUUUUUUUAUUUUUUUAAAAUAGAAAAUAAGAUAAAAACGGGUUUAUUAGGAAAAACCCACACGUGUUUUUAUUUUUGACGUUGCCCCAUAACGAGAUGAUGGGUCAGCCAAUAUUUAUUAUUUCAAUUAGUCAAUUUUUUUGUGUUCCUAUUUUACCCCCUACAACGUUUUUUUGUGCUAACCCAUUAUUAUUUCAUAAUUUAAUGCUAUUUAUGGGAAUAAAAACUAAGGUAAAUAAUUAUUGAAUUUAAUGUAGCCUAUUGACAAUUGUUCUAUGGAUUUGGAUCCUUUGUUUUGAUUUACUUUGCCAUAAUCUAGUUUACUUUUGUUCUCCACAUGGCACCUUAUUAAAAUUUACAUCUUUUCUUUCUCCAAUCUUAGAACACAAAAACGUUCUUACUAAGAAGAGUAUAAACAUAUCGAGUCGAAUGAGUAACUAGCUCCAAGGGCAUAGGAAAUUAAAUCAUGUUCACCCAAAUCAUAGAAAACCUAGAGUGAGAAAGAACAUAAGUCAUGUAAAGAAAAUAUAGAAGUAGCAAACUCUACGUAUUCAAAGAAAAAAAAAACUGGGAAUUUAUUCCUACAAAUGAUGAAGAGAGACAAUUCCACUUUUUAUUUGCGAGGCUUUGUUAACUUAUUAUUUUCACCGAAUUUUUUAUUUUAUUUUAUUUUCUAAUUCUUGAAAGGAAGAAGGACUAGACUUUAAAAUGCAGAAACCUUCCCAGGCUUGGAAGCCAAUCCAAAGCAUGCCAAUGUAACUUGAAUGAAAUUUCAAGCGAGUCAUUGACACUCCAGCAACAAUAUGUAUAAAACCAAAACUUAGGAAGAGACCAAAUCGCAGACACAAAAACUUGUAAAUUGGGUGACAAAAUUAAUUUAUUGGUCUACAAAUUACACUCAGAUUAUUGCCUGCAAAUUAUAAUUAUGGAGAAUGAAAACAAGAAGAGGUUGGCAGUUUUGGUGGGCUGCAAUUACCCAAACACCAGAAAUGAGCUGCAUGGUUGCAUAAAUGAUGUGGUGGCCAUGAGAGGCACACUUGUGAAUCGCUUCGGGUUUGAUCCAGGAAACAUUCAGCUGCUGACUGAUGCUGCAGCUGCAGGUUCUUCUUCCUCAGUCAUGCCCACAGGUGCAAAUAUUAAGAAGGCACUUGGUGCAAUGGUUGAUCAAGCUAAGCCAGGUGAUGUCUUGUAUUUUCACUAUAGUGGCCAUGGAACAAGGAUCCCUUCAUUGAAGCCAGGCAACCCCUUCAGGCAGGAUGAGGCUAUUGUGCCUUGUGAUUUCAAUCUCAUCACUGGUGGGUGCUUUUAAUCUAAUUGUUCAAUUGUUUAAUCUCUUGUAUACAUGUUAAUUUUAGUAAUUUAAUGUUCUAAUGAGUAAUUAUAGAGGUGAGAUUUCGCUUUAUACAUCCCACCUUUAUUAUAGAGAUGUGGUCUACAAUGUGGUGUCUUUUCCUGAUUCACAGUAAGACACUUAUGCAUUUUUGCUAUUGUUCAAUUAGUUAAACAUAUAACUAAUUACAACAUGCACGGAUAGCAAGUGUGAGUAUGAGACGAGUUGUAAACUUGGAAGUUGGUGAAAAUAACAUGGUUAAUUUAUUGGUAACUUUUAUGUGCAGAUGUGGAUUUCAGACAACUAGUAAACCGCUUGCCAAAGGGAGCAAGCUUUACAAUCCUGUCAGACUCAUGCCACAGUGGAGGGCUCAUUGACAAGGAGAAAGAGCAGAUUGGACCUUCUCAUGUCACUGAAAUUAGUAACACAUCCCCAUCAGUUUCCUCUAAGCCUAAGGGCAUUCCUUUUGAGUCCAUAUUACACCACCUCGCAUCAUUGACAGGCAUAAACACAUCUGACAUUGCAACCCACUUGUUAGAGUUGUUUGCAGCAGAUGCCAGCCUCAAGUUUCGUUUGCCUCCGUUCGAACUACUCAACAUGUUCGAGUCAUUGAACCCUGAUGAGGGAAUCUUACUAAGCGGGUGUCAAGCAAAUGAGACUUCUGCUGACAUGACGAACCCGGUCAUGACUAGAGGAAAGGCAUGUGGUGCUUUCAGCAAUGCAGUUCAAAUGCUGUUGAAGGAGCAUGAGGCUGACCUAAGCAAUCGACAAGUUGUGAUGCUUGCUAGACAAGUUUUGAGAGAACAAGGCUUUGAGCAGCACCCUUGUCUCUAUUGCAAUGAUGAGAAUGCUGAUGCAACUUUCUUAUGCGAAUCUCAUAUCAGCUCAAGUUUAUGAGAUAUUGGUUAUGCUAUGAUUUGUCUAAUAAGUAAUGUAAGACCAUAUCACUUGCUUAUUGUUUUCUUCGUGUAAAUAAAGAGGGCACUGAUAUUGCCACUUUCUUGUGGCAACCUCUCAGAGCUCAAGUUUAUUAGAAUCUGUCUAUUAUCUACUGUUUCUUUGUUCAGCUCAAGUGAGGCAUUACUGAAUUCUUUGGUUGAAUAAAUUCUUACUCAUCAGGCCUCCCGUGGGGGCCGUGGGGGAAAAUAUAGCAGUAAACCAUGAACCUUUUUAAGUUAUGCCAAGAUUGAAGACAUCUUUUCUUGAGAAGAACAUUCACAAGGUCCUUCUAUUAAAUAUUCAAGAAUAAAAAUAGCUAUACAAAGUAUUAAGGAAAAGGUAUCCAAGACAAACUAAAUUACACAAACGCAUGAAGCAAAAGCAAAAAUGAAAUGACAAAAAGAGAGGACAAAUUUUGUCUCUCUAAUUAUAAUGUUGUACACUCAAACCAUCUAUUUCACAUGCUUAAGGUUCUUCACUGCUCCACAGUGAAUUUGCUUAUCUCCUUUGGAAGUUCAAGAACUUGAUGCCGUAUGCAAAGACAAAGAAGAAGAGGAGGACCCAACCAACAUGCGCAACGACAACAGGGAUCAGAAAAUCGUAGUCAAAACCUAAAAACUCUUUAAGGAAUACAUCAACAGCUUUUUUUUCGUCAAUAUUAACUGUGAUCUCUGUCUUUAUGUCACCAACUUGGGAUGUGAAGAUACCAUAGAUUGUCCAAGCAACUGGAGAACCCCAGUA